rnacentral:rRNA from 1 species
UACGGAGGGUGCGAGCGUUGUUCGGAAUCACUGGGCGUAAAGGGCGUGUAGGCGGUCCGCUAAGUCUGAUGUGAAAGCCCGGGGCUCACCCCCGGAAGGGCAUUGGAAACUGACGGACUCGAGUCCCGAAGAGGAGGGUGGAAUUCCUGGUGUAGCGGUGAAAUGCGUAGAUAUCAGGAGGAACACCGGUGGCGAAGACGGCCCGCUGGACGGUGACUGACGCUGAGACGCGAAAGCGUGGGGAGCAAACAGG